UCCGGGAGGGCCAGGUCGCGACGGCCGCGGUCGCAGCGUGCAGCCGGGCGCCACGGAGGCCGGGGAGGCCGGGGAGCCCGGGGAGGCGGGGAGACGGGGAGACCGACCGGCGAGCAGGCCCCGCGGGAAGUUCCCCUGGUCCCACCCCGCCCGCCCGCACUGCGGCCCCGGCCUGCGGAGGCCCCGCGCGCCCGCCUCCCGACCUGUGAGCGUGGCCGGCCCCGGGUUCAAAAGAAACGAGAACCAUUGCGUUACUUGCCUGGGUGGGAAGGACUCGGCCCGGCGUGGCUUCGGGUGCCCAGGGCGCACGGUGCGGGGUCCGAGGGCCCCUCCCUCACUUUCCCUCCUCCUCCCCUCACCAUCCCCGUCAGUAGGUAGCUAAGAGGGAGGGGGAAAAAAAAAAAGAAAGAAAGAAAAAGAGGAGGGGGGAGGGGCUAUCCAACCAAUGGCGUGCUGGAGGCUUGGCUAACCUUAGACUCCCAUUUUCUCUCCCCCCCGAUUCAGGGCUCUGACCAGUCAGUCGCCUUUGAUUAUCAGUUGCCAGCAGCCCUUCUCUUGGCUCCUUGACACGAGCUCCAUAUAAGGCAGCGAUCUCCAUAGAAACGUAAGAAGGCAGCGAGAGCCCGGCGCCACCGGCACAACAAAAAGAGCAAAGUGUGUGAUCCUCGUCGCCGGCUGCCUCCCUCUCUCCGGCGCUGCCUUCCUGAAUGGCUGGCUGCGUCCAGCCCUGGACCUGGCCCCCCGACACCAGCGCGCCCUGAUCGCCGCCCGCAGCCUCGCCCCGCGCCCUGCUCGGCUCUCCGCGCUCCCCUCCAUCCCGAGCCCCGCCAGGGCUCCCGCCGGGACAGCGGCGGCGGCGCGGGCGGCCCCGACCCGGGCUCGCGCUCCGGCUGCGGCCCCGACUCCAGCUCGGACUCCGGCCCGGGCCCCGGCUCCUCCAGCGGCGCUCGCCGCUGCAGCUGAGGCGGCGACUCCAGCGGCGCCUGCAGCCGCGACCUCCUCCUCCUCCGCCGCCGCAGCCGCCGCCGCCGCCGCCGCCUCCGCCGCCGCCGCCGCCGUCGCCUCCUAUUU
rnacentral:lncRNA from 12 species